rnacentral:rRNA from 1 species
UACGUAGGGGGCAAGCGUUGUCCGGAUUUAUUGGGCGGAAAGAGCUCGUAGGUGGUUUGGUUAGUCGGAUGUGAAAUCUCCAGGCUCAACCUGGAGGGGUCAUUCGAUACUGCCAUGACUAGAGGUCGGUAGGGGAGUGUGGAAUUCCUGGUGGAGCGGUGAAAUGCGCAGAUAUCAGGAGGAACACCCGUAGCGAAGGCGGCACUCUGGGCCGAUACUGACACUGAGGAGCGAAAGCCAGGGGAGCAAACGGG